AUUGAACGCUGGCGGAAUGCUUUACACAUGCAAGUCGAACGGCAGCACGGACUUCGGUCUGGUGGCGAGUGGCGAACGGGUGAGUAAUGUAUCGGAACGUGCCCAGUCGUGGGGGAUAACGUAGUGAAAAUUACGCUAAUACCGCAUAUGAUCUAUGGAUGAAAGCGGGGGAUCGCAAGACCUCGCGCGAUUGGAGCGGCCGAUAUCAGAUUAGGUAGUUGGUGGGGUAAAGGCCCACCAAGCCAACGAUCUGUAGCUGGUCUGAGAGGACGACCAGCCCCACUGGAACUGAGACACGGUCCAGACUCCUACGGGAGGCAGCAGUGGGGAAUUUUGGACAAUGGGCGAAAGCCUGAUCCAGCCAUUCCGCGUGCAGGAUGAAGGCCCUCGGGUUGUAAACUGCUUUUGUACAGAACGAAAAGGUUUCUACUAAUACUAGGAGCUCAUGACGGUACUGUAAGAAUAAGCACCGGCUAACUACGUGCCAGCCGCCGCAGUAA
rnacentral:rRNA from 1 species